GACGAACGCUGGCGGCGUGCUUAACACAUGCAAGUCGAACGAAGAGCGAUGGAAGCUUGCUUCUAUCAAUCUUAGUGGCGAACGGGUGAGUAACGCGUAAUCAACCUGCCCUUCAGAGGGGGACAACAGUUGGAAACGACUGCUAAUACCGCAUACGAUCUAAUCUCGGCAUCGAGGAUAGAUGAAAGGUGGCCUCUACAUGUAAGCUAUCACUGAAGGAGGGGAUUGUGUCUGAUUAGCUAGUUGGAGGGGUAACGGCCCAACAAGGGGAAGUUCAGAAGCCGGUCUGGAGGGAGGAACGGCCACAUUGGGAACGAGACACGGCCCAGACCCCUACGGGAGGCAGCAGGGGGGAAUCUUCCGCAAAGGACGAAAGUCUGACGGAGGCACGCCGCGGGAGGGAUGACGGCCUUCGGGUUGUAAAGCUUUGUUAAUCGGGACGAAAGGCCUUCUUGCGAAUAGUGAGAAGGAUUGACGGUACCGGAAUAGAAAGCCACGGCUAACUACGUG
rnacentral:rRNA from 1 species